GUCCCCAUCGUCUAGUGGCCUAGGACACCAGCCUUUCACGUUGGUAACGCGGGUUCGAUAUCCCGCUGGGGACGCCA
rnacentral:tRNA from 1 species